UCUCGCUCUCUCUCGACCUUUCUCUUGCUUUCUCUCACCUGUUCUCCGUUUUUAAUAAAUGUAAUUUGAUUUUUAUGCAUGUUGAAUGUGUCUUUUGUAUCUUGACGUUGAUGGGUGUCGCUUUCUGUUGUUUAAUCAAGUGAUAGGGAGCUCUGCCAGUUGUUUCGUUUGAAUUUGUUUCCUAUACAGUCUAAGUGUAUGUUGUUUUGUCUCAGAGACUCAGCUCUGCUUGCCUUCUCGCCAGAAGAUAUUGCACUUUUAUCUGUGUACUUCUCUAACUUCAUAUCUUCUGGUUCAGAUAUUGAACUUUUCAGCUUGUGGGUUCAUUAGAGAAGUGAUCUUUGAGCGGACCUUUUUUAGAAUGAGACUGCAUUAUUGUUAUUUUUUGUGAUUGCAAUACUCUUGUCUUCCUUUAUCAAGAUUUGGCUUUUGACACCAGAGUUCUAAUAUUCCUAUUAGACAGAGUAAGCCGUUGUCUAGCAUCAUUUAGCAUUCUAUCUAUAAAGUGUAUAGCACCCGCUCAAGUGCUCUAUCUAUAUGGCAGCCUCCCAUCUUUCAUUGUCCUUAUAUUUUAUCAUGUAAAAAUUCGCACUUUACUGUAUGAAAGAACUAUGACUUUAAGCCAAGAACGUUCACUGGAUGGGAUCAAAAUAUAGUGUUGAAUUCUAGUGGACCAACAUGCACACUGAUUCUUAGGUCGAGAUGUGUUCUUUGUUAUCAUUUUUUAUCUGGCUACGUGGGGCUGAGCUCUAGGCUUUAGCUUGAAGUUUCAUAGGAUACAUCUUCUGACAACUCAGGUUUCUUUCUCCUUCACAUUGUUAUAUAUAUUUUAUUUUAUUUUGCAUCAGUGCAACUAGUGUGCCUGACUUACUAACGUCUAAACUUCUGAGGAUUGCUUCAACUAUAUAACAAUAGUUUCGUGUUCAUUUCUCAAAGUAAAACUUCAUCUGCCCUUUCCACCUGGAAACUUUUUGACUGAAGUUUUAUGUAACUGUUUGUGUAAACUGGCCAUUAUGUGCCUCUUGCAAAUUAUGUCGUAUAUUGCUAGCAGGAUCUUCCAGUUAGAAGUUUCUAACAGCUCUCAGCAAAGGGUGGCUGUUUCCCUUUUAACGUGCAGUUUUUUCUCUUUGAAUAUUAUGUUUCUGUACUCUGCCUCAAAAAUUUAGAACUUUUAUGUGUUCUGUUCCUGUGAAUAUAGCAUAUUAGUAUGCUGCAGGAUCAUUUUUAUGAUUGCAUUCUGUGCUGGUGAUUUAGAUCAUAUAUUACUUUAUUAGUUGAAAAUUUUCUAGCGGUCUCCAUUUUUAAUUAUGUAAUGAUGAUUUGAUGAUUAGACAAGCUGACUCCAGCUGCAUU
rnacentral:misc_RNA from 1 species